AUUGAACGCUGGCGGAAUGCUUUACACAUGCAAGUCGAGCGGCAGCGCGGCCUUCGGGCUGGCGGCGAGCGGCGAACGGGUGAGUAAUGCAUCGGAACAUGCCCAGUCGGGGGGGAUAACACUUCGAAAGAAGUGCUAAUACCGCAUACGUCCGGAGGGGGAAAGCGGGGGAUCGCAAGACCUCGCGCGAUUGGAUUGGCCGAUGUCAGAUUAGCUAGUUGGUGGGGUAAAGGCCUACCAAGGCGACGAUCUGUAGCUGGUCUGAGAGGAUGAUCAGCCACACUGGGACUGAGACACGGCCCAGACUCCUACGGGAGGCAGCAGUGGGGAAUUUUGGACAAUGGGGGCAACCCUGAUCCAGCCAUUCCGCGUGAGUGAAGAAGGCCUUCGGGUUGUAAAGCUCUUUCGGCAGGAACGAAACGGUGGGCUCUAACAUAGUCCGCUAAUGACGGUACCUGAAGAAGAAGCACCGGCUAACUACGUG
rnacentral:rRNA from 1 species